rnacentral:rRNA from 1 species
AGUGAACGCUGGCGGUAUGCUUAACACAUGCAAGUCGAACGGCAGCACAGUCAUCGCUUGCGCUUCCGGGGGGCGAGUGGCGUGCGGGACAGGAGUACAUCCUAAUCUACUUUUUCGUGGUGGAUCACGUAGGGAAACUUACUCCAAUACCGCAUACGACGUACGGGGGAGAGCAUUGGAUCUUCGGACCUUGCGCGGUUGGAUGAGCGGAUGUCGGGUUGGCUGGUUGGGGGGGUAAAGGCCCACCAAGGCGACGAUCGGUAGCUGGUGUGAGGGGAGGGUCAGCCACACUGGAACUGAGACACGGUCCAGACUCCUACGGGAGGCAGCAGUGGGGAAUGUUGGACAAUGGGCGCAAGCAUGAUCCAGCAAUACCGCGUGUGUGAAGAAGGCCUUCGGGUUGUAAAGCCCUUUUGGGGGGAAAGAAAAGCAGUAGGUUAAUACCACGCUGUGGUGACGGUACCCGAAGAAUAAGCACCGGCUAACUACGUG